GUUGAAACACCGGUUCAUGUACGAUCACCGAAGUUAAGUAACGUCGAACAUGAUCAGUACCUAGAUGGGUGACCACUUGGGAAUACCACGUGAUGUAA